GCGGAUGUGGCGAAAUUGGUAGACGCACUGCUUUCAGGUGGCAGCGCCUUUGGUGUGAAGGUUCGAAUCCUUUCAUCCGCA
rnacentral:tRNA from 1 species